GUUUAUUCCUGGUUCUUCAUUAAUGAUGCUGUGACAUUAAGUGUUUUAAACCUGAAAGAAUUUCAUCAGAUUUUAUGGUUGUUCUCAGUCAGUAUGAAGCCUAUUCAGUCAUUACACUGAAGUAAAUGCAAAGAUAAAUUCUUAUGGAAAUUGGCUUAUUAAUAAUAAUAAUAAUAAUAAUAAUAAUAAUAAAAUAAAUAAAGAUGCUCACUGAUAUUAAAAGUUCUCAAUUACCACACAACAAAUGAGCAGAGCUAAAUAUGACAGGAUUACCACAGCACUUUCUGUUGUACAGUAUCACAAGAAUUUACCAUUAGAUGCCGUAUGUGGUUUUUCUGUUGUUUUUGUGUGGUAAUUACAACACAUUUGAGCAGAGCUAAAUAUGACAGGAUUGCCAUAGCACUUUCUAUAUACCAAUAACUUACUACAAUAAUAUGUGGUAUUUUUGUUGGUUUUGUGUGGUAUUUCCAAAACAAUGACAUCUAACUGGCAGAAAUAUAAUGCUGUAGGAUAGUAUCAAUUACAGUAAUGUGAUCUUUUGAAGGUCUUAAAUAAUAAAAAUAUAUUUUAAAUAUAUAAUAAUAAUAAUAAUAAUAUGUAUGUAAAAUAAUAAAAAUAUAUUUUAACAGUUGAUGACAGCUUGGCAUUUUAUCAUACAUUAAUUCAGAUCUUAUAGUAGCUAUGAGAUAUGGAUUACCACAGCUUUUUUGUGUGUGUGUGUGGUAAUACCAAAGUAUUGGAGUAGAGCUAAUUAUGACAGGAUUGCACAGCACUUUCUAUAUGAUAUAUAUUUACUGUAAAAAAUACAGUCUGUGGUAAUUUGUGUGUGUGUGUGUGUGUGUGUACUGGUUUUUGUGGUUUACGGGGACAAAAAUUGUAUAAUGACAUGGGUAUGACAGAGGUAUUACAAUUUGAAGGUGGUUUAUGAGGACACUGCCUAUGUCCCCGUAAUUCAAAAGGCUUUAAAAACAUACUAAAUGGUGUUUUUUUUUUAAUCUAAAAAUGCACAAAGUUUCCUGUAAGGGGUAGGGUUAGGUGUAGGGUUGGUGUAGGGCAAUAACACAUACAGUUUGUACAGUAUAAAAACCAUUACGCCUAUGGAGAGCAGGAAUUGAAGGUGGGGAUUGUGAAUGAACAGCACUCUCUCCACCUUUGAUACCAUGACUAAGAUGCCCUAUUGCUCCCCGGGCGCUGGAGCAAUGGCUGCCCACUGCUCCGGGUGUGUGUUCACUGUGUGUGUGUGUGUGUGUGUGUGUGUGCAUUUGUUCACUACUCGCUGUUGUGUGUGUGCACUUGGAUGGGUUAAAUGCAGAGCACCAAUUUCGAGUAUGGGUCACCAUACUUGACAAUACGUCACGAUUUAACCUCUUAACUGACUAUAUACCUCAUUAUAAAGGCCUUAAUUGCAGCUGUCACAUUCUGAACUCUCUCUCCUCGCUUUAUUUUCUGUCAUUCCUUCCUCCUGUCCCCCAGAACCCUAUCGAAUAGACACUAUUUAGUACAAGGAUUUUCAGCCAACCCAGGGACCCCAAAAUAAAAACAAAAUAAAACCCUAAAUUUUCUUGGUUACUCUUCAAAUAAAAACAAAGAAAACAAAGAAAAUUAAUAAAAUAAAAACAAAAGAAAAUUAAAUUAAAUAUUAUAUGUUAAAGUGAUCUACAUCUCACAAUUUCAUUCAUAAAAAUGUGCUACAUUUAGCGGAGGAUUGCUACCAUGGAAAACAAACACUUUUAAAAUAACAUUAAAUUUACACUAAAGUUACUAGGUGGCUGCAAAUGACCACCCAUUGGUUCAUUUGACAUUUCCAUAAAAAUUUUUUAGACUAUAUAAAAUAUUAAAUACAAAAAUUCACUAAAACUACUAAACCUGUGAUUUUUUUAUUUAUAAUAAUAAUAAUAAUUAUUAUUAUAAAAAUCACAAGUUUAGUACAUUUUUGUACUGAAGAAGAAGUUGCAGUUAUGCCACAUUACAGUCAAACAUGAACUUCUCUUUGUGUAAUGAUGUCACCACAUCUGUGUGUAUUGUGUGAAAUACUCCUAAUACGCACAAGGUUUGAUUUGAUAUAUUAAUCUAAAACAACGAAAAGAGGGGCAUUGCAACUGGGCACAGAAGCCUAAAACACUGCCUGAAUUUGAUGUAAUGAGUAAGUUUUCACUUAAAUCAAAGAAACAAACAAUGUAUAAAUAAAUAAACAAACUUACCCAUGUUAAUCCUUGGUCAAUUCCAGCAUUAUGGACGUGACAUUUGCAGUAAAAACUUGAAAUAUAAAUUAUCAGAGAAUGUAAAUAACAAUAUACUGAAACAUAUGUUUAUAUUUUUCUAAACCCCUAAUCAUAGAGUUUUGAUAUCAGAAAAAAAAACAGUCUAUGCACGUGUUUUAUAUUUUAAAUCGGGCAAAUAUGCAUGCGUUACGGACGUGACAAAAAAGGACUUGAGUUUUUGGGAGUCAACAUACUUUGUAGAAAUUCUGCGAAUUCAAAUGCACAAGCCAAAAUAAAUAAUACCAGCCGAAAGGAUAAGGGUUGUCUCUCCAUGGAACAUAAAUUAUUUAUUUUAUUUUGUUUUUCAUUUUUGCAUUUAUGAGGAAAAACCAUUGUUACGGACGUGACGUCUCUCCGUUACGGACGUGACAGAUCUGAAAUUGUCACUUGUCUGACUCUGUCAAAUCAGAUAAAAUGCUUUAAAAACUUUAACCGAGAUCUAUUUCUGGGUCUCUGUUGGGUAUUUAAACCAACAAACAUUUCCCUCUGAGACAUGGUAAGGUUGCGCAAUUAAUAACGUUCAAACUGAAAUCAUCGCGUUGUAUAUUAGCCUGUGUUUGCGCGAGUGUGGUGUUAAAAUGUAACCAGUGCGGAUAUGUUCAAAACUGAAUUCAAUCAUGAUUAUUUGCUAAUGUGGUGUUUACUUUAGACCCCGAAUAAUAUAGAAUUUGCUAAUAUACAUCAUCAGCUGUAAUAAAUGUUUACCAAGUCCCGGAGGUCGCCGCGGUGUCCGCUCAGAACAAGCUUCGGUGAAUUGUCCGCUUGUUAGUGUGUACUGUGUAGGCCUGUGUCUGUGUGAAGAGUGGUAUGCAAAAUACAAUCGUGUCACAAUGAUCGCAAUAGUAUGUUUGAUGGCAAUGUUUAUUCCCAGUUUGCGUUGCUAAAUGCGCAAUCGUGAUUCUAAAUAGCUGCAUUAUGUUUGUCAAAAUAGUUGCAGUGUAAGCCAAUGCUUUAGACUAUAUUAUUUAUAGUCUCUAAAGAUUACUUAAUUAGUAGUUAUGUUUUACCAAGUUUAAUGGCUGGCAUUUGGAUGUUAAGAAGACUAAGACGCAGCAAAACGAUCUGUGUGAAACAGAUGUGCAAAAAAAGGUGAGCAUAAAGUACUUACAGUAUUUUCAUUUAAUGUUUAAUGUGAACAUCUUUAAGAUAUACUUUGAGAUAUUCUCUCACUUUUUGGGAGGCUCCAUUUUUGUUUUUCCUGUAUCUGUAUGUAAAGUUUGCAUUAAAUAAAUCAAUACAUUAAUGAGUCAAUAAAUCUACAUUAUUAUUAUUGUUAUUAUUGUAUUUAUCAUUAUUUUGAUUGUAAUUAUCACCUACCUCUGCUAGCUGGCAGCAACAUGCCACAGUGACAGAAGAGUUUGUCUUAAUUCAUGUUUCUAUAACAACAGCGUUCUCUGAUUGGUGGAUCUCGCUUUGGCGCACUUUCGGAAUUUUGAACGUUUUACGUCACAGCGUUUCUCAACUGCCAUCCGCGAGCUAGUUUUGCAAAGAUGAUGUGUUUCUGUUUAUUUGAUUUUUUCGAGGAGAACAUGGUAGAAAUAGGUCUUUCAAGUUACAUCGACGAAAACAGACAUUCACGUCGAAACCUUAAAUAACGAGGAAUGGGACUUCUCUAAAGAAGUACUCGUUAACUGGCCCACUGGGAGAAACCAGAUGACGCAGUACGUCUCCAGAGUAGUGUACUUUGCUGUCACGCCUGGAUGAAAACCUUCUCAAAGAAAGAGACCGAUUAAUUGGGAGGAUUAAGCCUGGUGCUGGUGUGCCUGGCAAAGAAGAAUUGUAAAGCCAAAAAAAAAAAAAAAACUGACAGAUGAUGUGACAAAUUCCUUUCAGCUCAGCCUUGCCAGCAAAAGUAAGGAAAACUGAAUCAAAACCCGGCCAGCAUUUGAUGCAGCAAUUAAUUAAACAGAGGUCUG